rnacentral:rRNA from 1 species
GAUGAACGCUAGCGGCAGGCUUAACACAUGCAAGUCGAGGGGUAGAAGGAGCUUGCUCCUUUGAGACCGGCGCACGGGUGCGUAACGCGUAUGCAAUCUACCUUUUGCAGAGGGAUAGCCCAGAGAAAUUUGGAUUAAUACCUCAUAGUAUGUGAGGAUGGCAUCAUUUUCACAUUAAAGUCGCAACGGCAAAAGAUGAGCAUGCGUCCCAUUAGCUAGUUGGUAAGGUAACGGCUUACCAAGGCUACGAUGGGUAGGGGUCCUGAGAGGGAGAUCCCCCCACACUGGUACUGAGACACGGACCAGACUCCUACGGGAGGCAGCAGUGAGGAAUAUUGGACAAUGGGCGCAAGCCUGAUCCAGCCAUGCCGCGUGCAGGAUGACGGUCCUAUGGAUUGUAAACUGCUUUUAUACAGGAAGAAACACUACUUCGUGAAGUAGCUUGACGGUACUGUGAGAAUAAGGAUCGGCUAACU